AUUGAACGCUGGCGGCAGGCUUAACACAUGCAAGUCGAGCGGAGCGAGGGUGCUUGCACCUUAGCUUAGCGGCGGACGGGUGAGUAAUGCUUAGGAAUCUGCCUAUUAGUGGGGGACAACAUUCCGAAAGGAAUGCUAAUACCGCAUACGUCCUACGGGGGAAAGCAGGGGAUCUUCGGACCUUGCGCUAAUAGAUGAGCCUAAGUCGGAUUAGCUAGUUGGUGGGGUAAAGGCCUACCAAGGCGACGAUCUGUAGCGGGUCUGAGAGGAUGAUCCGCCACACUGGGACUGAGACACGGCCCAGACUCCUACGGGAGGCAGCAGUGGGGAAUAUUGGACAAUGGGCGCAAGCCUGAUCCAGCCAUGCCGCGUGUGUGAAGAAGGCCUUUUGGUUGUAAAGCACUUUAAGCGAGGAGGAGGCUACUUAGAUUAAUACUCUAGGAUAGUGGACGUUACUCGCAGAAUAAGCACCGGCUAAACUCUGUGCCAGCAGCCG
rnacentral:rRNA from 1 species